AAUUCUGACUUUUAUUCUUUUCAGAUCCAUAUGCUCCACCGACAAUCUACCUGGAGUUUAAUGGAGAAUUUCCUUCUACUUUCAGGAGCCAUCAGAGGACCUGGAAGAUCACCUGCCUGUAAUCUACUAGCUAGAUGCAGUAGCCAAACUCUCCUCCCGCUACCAAGGAAUGGGCAUCUGACUCAUUGUUCCAGCUGCUGAUGAAACUACAGUGAAUCUGAGGACUGUCUUGUGCUUUAUGUGGGUAGCCACUUGGGAUGGAGAUGGAUGAGAUGGAAAGAGAGCAACUAGAUAAAUUCCCAGGAAGCUAGAAUAGUCUUAACAAUGAAGAACAACUGCAUGGCUCAAGAGGCUGGAACACUUCCAUUUCCCUGUUCUAUAUUCAGGCAUAUUGUUGGACCAGGUUUAGUCCUGGAGGUGCCUGACUUUAAUGGAAGGAAGAGGAAUGUUCCUUUUUCAUACUCAUUGGCUCAUUAAAUAUUUCA